rnacentral:rRNA from 1 species
UUACCCUACGGGGGGCAGCAGUGAGGAAUAUUGGUCAAUGGGCGCGAGCCUGAACCAGCCAAGUCGCGUGAGGGAAGACGGUCCUAUGGAUUGUAAACCUCUUUUGUCGGGGAGCAAAAGACGCCACGUGUGGCAUUCCGAGAGUACCCGAAGAAAAAGCAUCGGCUAACUCCGUGCCAGCAGCCGCGGUAAUACGGAGGAUGCGAGCGUUAUCCGGAUUUAUUGGGUUUAAAGGGUGCGCAGGCGGAGGCACAAGUCAGCGGUAAAAUCGCGGGGCUCAACCCCGCUCCGCCGUUGAAACUGUG